rnacentral:lncRNA from 1 species
CAGAUUAAACAAAGGACUUCUUCAGUUUUGGAAGAGUGGAAAAAGAGAGAAAAGAUACUGAAAGUUUUAUGGGUCUGAGAGAAGGAGUGGGAGCCUAGGGAGGCUUAGGGGACUUGAGAGCUGAGGCGGUUUGAGACCUGCCUGUGGGUCCAGUGUCUUCCCUAGGUAGGAUAUCCCAGCUAGACCCAGCCCCAAAGAGAUUCUGUGAAGCCAGUUUUCCAUGGAAACAAAGUGACAUCUUAGUGUGGAUAUGCAUGGUCCUAGAUUAAUAAACAAUGGCUUAGAUCAGUUGAAGACCAGGUAAGUUCUUACCUCCUAAGAAGCCUGAUCCUACAUGAACUUACUCUCCCAGGACUCAUGCACAAAAGGAGGGACAGGGGCAGGUAAGGUUAAGUGAUUGAGACAAAUUUUUGCCACCACAGUUCAAGGAGGGCUUGAAAUAGAAUUGAAGAUAAAUUUCUCAUACUUGAGAGUCUAUAAACUGAGAUUCAUACCUGCUGAUUUUCUUUUUUUAUGUUAAUAAAAUGUGUAUCACAUAAAACUUACCAUUUUAACCAUUUUUAAGUUAUUAAGUACAUUCAUAUUAUUGUGCAACCAUCGCUCACCACCACCCAUCUUCAGAACUUUUUUGACUUCUUCAAUUAAAACUCUAAAUUCAUUAAACACUAACUUUCCAUUGUAUCUUCCCCUUAGGCCCUGGCAACCCCCAAUCUACGCUCUGCCUCUACAAGUUUGAUGCAGUACUCUAGGAAUGGAAUCAUACAAUUCACAUCUUAAAAUCUCCCUCUGUGUUCUCCAGGAGAGUUUUGAGAUGUAAGCUGUUCCAUGUCGAAUGUAUGGCCUCACCCAGCCACCAUGCUACUGUGAAUGGAAACGUCACAGAACCAAGAGACUUCCAGAAGAGGCCUCUGAAAAAGACAGUGGGGCAACCGAGGGGAUCUGGCAACAGUAGUUUCUGUGGACAUAUUUUAGAACAUUCUAGAAGAGUGCUCUCAGCUCUUGGCGGGACAAUUCUGAAAAUUGCUCUACCCACUUCCUCAGAGGUUUCCCACUGGGAUGGAGCCUACCACGAAACAGGUAGCAGAUCGCUGCAGGGACACCAAAAUUGGAGGAAUUUUGCUUGCUGCUAGAGAAACAGGGAUGUUUACUAACUUGUCUGGUUAACCGUUUCUCUCCAUUAAAAAUACAUAGGCUGGAUAAAAUUAAGAGAACUGGUUAAUGAGCAUAAUCUGUCAAUAAAUUAAGGCGAGAAAUUGCCAACUAUCAGGCACAAUUCUAUUUGGGAAAUUGUAUCUGUUUAUUUUAG